rnacentral:rRNA from 1 species
UACGGAGGAUCCAAGCGUUAUCCGGAUUUAUUGGGUUUAAAGGGUGCGUAGGCGGCCAAUUAAGUCAGGGGUGAAAGACGGUAGCUUAACUAUCGCAGUGCCUUUGAUACUGAUUGGCUUGAAUGGACUAGAGGUAGGCGGAAUGUGACAAGUAGCGGUGAAAUGCAUAGAUAUGUCACAGAACACCAAUUGCGAAGGCAGCUUACUAUGGUUUAAUUGACGCUGAGGCACGAAAGCGUGGGGAUCAAACAGG